UACGUAGGGGGGCGAGCGUUGUCCGGAUUCAUUGGGCGUAAAGCGCUUUAAGGCGGUCGCUAAGUCGGGUGUGAAACCUCCAGGCUCAACCUGGAGACGCCACUCGAUACUGGCGUGACUAGAGUCCGGUAGGGGACCACGGAAUUCCUGGUGUAGCGGUGAAAUGCGCAGAUAUCAGGAGGAACACCAGUGGCGAAGGCGGUGGUCUGGGCCGGAACUGACGCUGUAGAGCGAAAGCGUGGGGAGCGAACAGG
rnacentral:rRNA from 1 species